UGGGGAAUAUUGGACAAUGGGCGAAAGCCUGAUCCAGCCAUGCCGCGUGUGUGAAGAAGGUCUUCGGAUUGUAAAGCACUUUAAGUUGGGAGGAAGGGCAGUAAGCUAAUACCUUGCUGUUUUGACGUUACCGACAGAAUAAGCACCGGCUAACUUCGCGCCAGCAGCCGCGGUAAUACGAAGGGUGCAAGCGUUAAUCGGAAUUACUGGGCGUAAAGCGCGCGUAGGUGGUUCGUUAAGUUGGAUGUGAAAGCCCCGGGNUCAACCUGGGAACUGCAUCCAAAACUGGCGAGCUAGAGUAUGGUAGAGGGUGGUGGAAUUUCCUGUGUAGCGGUGAAAUGCGUAGAUAUAGGAAGGAACACCAGUGGCGAAGGCGACCACCUGGACUGAUACUGACACUGAGGUGCGAAAGCGUGGGGAGCAAAACAGGAUUAGAUACCCUGGUAGUCCACGCCGUAAACGUGUCAACUAGCCGUUGGGUUCCUUGAGAACUUAGUGGCGCAGCUAACGCAUUAAGUUGACCGCCUGGGGAGUACGGCCGCAAGGUUAAAACUUAAAGUGAAUUGACGGGGUCAUAGCUG
rnacentral:rRNA from 1 species